UCCAUCCCCCCUGGAGAUCGAC
rnacentral:misc_RNA from 1 species